rnacentral:lncRNA from 1 species
GGCGUCGGAGCGGCCACAAGAUGGCGUCGCAAGCCUGUCUGCGAGAGGCGCGCGGCCGCGGCGGCUGGCGGUGCUGAGGGGGGGCGCGCGGCCGUGUUGGCACGCGCCGCAGCCGUUAGGACUCGCGGCCCCGCCCAGCCCUCAGCGCCUCACGGUAGAUGGAGGCGGUGGUGCCACGCUUGGACGCGGUAGCCGAAGCGAAUGCAAAUGAGCAAAUCCAAAAGCGACAGAAAUCACAGAACUAUUACGCUUGGAACAGACCUCUAAGAUCAUCUAGUCUGACCAUAAACUCAUCAUCAGAGAUUUGCAUGGCUUAUCCAUCUGGACUCCAAGGGAAACAUCCAGACUCUGAACUGAGGAUGACAGAAAGCUGAUGCUAGAGAAAGUGAACUUUCAGCUGUAACCUCCUUGUGAUUCGUGGCAAUAAAACAAGAGGGAACGUACCCAGGGCUGCUGGGGAGACCUCGGCUCGUAUGGAGGUCUGAGCAGUCUGGAUCUCCCAACAAGCAGUCCUCCUCUUCCUCCUGGUCUCUCUUCUUGGAACUUGACCUGGAUCAUGAGAGACACAUCUCCUUUCUUCUCCCAUAGAGGACGACAUACUUGAUUUCCACCGAAGAAAGCAGCUGUCAAAGAUAU